UGCAGCGAAAUGUGGCGUCUCUGGCCUGGAU
rnacentral:piRNA from 1 species